GUGCUUGCUUCAGCAGCACAUGUAGUAAAAGUGGAACCAGACAGAGAUUAGCGUGGCCCCUGAACGAGGAUGACGUGUAAAUUCGUUAAACACUCCAUUAUUAA
ensembl:snRNA U6 U6 spliceosomal RNA